rnacentral:rRNA from 1 species
CGGGAGUAACGCGUGGAUAACCUGCUCACGACUGGGGGAUAACAGUUAGAAAUGACUGCUAAUACCGCAUAAGCGCACAGUACCGCAUGGUACAGUGUGAAAAACUCCGGUGGUGUGAGAUGGAUCCGCGUCUGAUUAGCCAGUUGGCGGGUAACGGCCCACCAAAGCGACGAUCAGUAGCCGACCUGAGAGGGUGACCGGCCACAUUGGGACUGAGACACGGCCCAA